ensembl:lncRNA
AUGGUUUCGGUUUCAUCCUCUCCGCCUCGUCGGAUCGUCGUGCCUGCACCAACCUGCCCAGCUCCAUGGUUAUUUCCCUGGGAGGAUUUCCUGCUCUCACGCGGUCCUCAGCCUCCAGUUCAGCCGCGCGCUGCUCAGCCUCCAAGUCAGCCGCGCGCUGCUCAGCCUCCAAGUCAGCCGCGCGCUGCUCAGCCUCCAAGUCAGCCGCGCGCUGCUCAGCCUCCAAGUCAGCCGCGCGCUGCUCAGCCUCCAGUUCAGCCGCGCGCUGCUCAGUCUCCAGUUCAGCCGCGCGCUGCUCAGUCUCCAGUUCAGCCGCGCGCUGCUCAGCCUCCAAGUCAGCCGCGCGCUGCUCAGUUUCCAGUUCAGCCGCGCGCUGCUCAGUCUCCAGAUCAGCCGCGCGCUGCUCAGUCUCCAGUUCAGCCGCGCGCUGUUCAAUCUCCAGCUCAAUCGUGCUUUGCCCAGUCUCCAGCUCAAUCGUGUUUUGCCCAGUCUCCUGCUCAAUCGUGUUUUCCCCAGUCUCCAGCCCAAGCUCCAGACGCCGCGGCCCCGUUUCACCAUGCGGAUCCCGGUACAGAGGUCCGGUCCACACCGCGCCCAGCGCCUCAAACGACGGACAGUCGCAGCUGCUCCGGACGGCGACGGCGGCGGCGCGGGUCCAGGAUCCCGGGUCCCGCGGUCUCGGUCAUGGGGACCGAGCAGCCUUCUUCCCCGACAGAGGAGCCCCUUAAUUCUCUGACUGACUGUGUCCCUCUGAUAACAGGCAUCCCAGACAGCGUCGCCCGACGGGUCCACCUCCUCUGCUCUCCUCCAGUUGCCUUUCUCUUCGCCCACCUCAUGAACACCGCCAAUUCGGCUACAGACCAGGGCGCGAGAGAACAACUGUUCGAGGAAGCAGCCGCUCUCGUCCGGAGGGAGCCUGUCCUGCGUGAGGCCCUGCAACUCCCGGGCCUGCAGCCAGCGGUCGCUUCAUGCCCCAUCUCUCAGUCAGGUCAGCCGUGUGUUACUCAUGCCCCGGUGCAGCCCUGUCGUCUCCAGGUCCCAGCCCAGUCGAACCUAGUCCAGACCCCAGAUCAGCCGUGUGUUGCCCAGACCCCAGAUCAGCCGUGUGUUGCCCAGACCCCAGGUCAGCCGUGUGUUGCCCAGACCCCAGAUCAGCCGUGUGUUGCCCAGACCCCAGAUCAGCCGUGUGUUGCCCAGACCCCAGAUCAGCCGUGUGUUGCCCAGACCCCAGAUCAGUCGUGUGUUGCCCUGACCCCAGUUCCGUCCUUGUCCCCGUCAGAGGGCACCGCCCGUCUGACGAUUGUUAACCCCACCCAAUCAGGCCCGUCGUCUUCCCCGUCGAGCUCGGCAGCCGUAAGUUGUCAUGCCAGCUCCAGAGUAGAUGCCGUUCCCGUCCCUGUCGGCCAAGUAGAUGCCGUUCCCGUCCCUGUCGGCCAAGUAGACGCCGUUCUAGUUCCUGUCGGCCAAGCAGAGGCCGUUCCAGUUCCUGUCGGCCAUGUUGAGGUCGUUCCAGUUCCUGUCGGCCAUGUUGCGGUCGUUCCAGUUCCUGUCGGCCAUGUUGAGGUCGUUCCAGUUCCUGUCGGCCAUGUUGAGGUCGUUCCAGUUCCUGUCGGCCAUGUUGAGGUCGUUCCAGUUCCUGUCGGCCAUGUUGAGGUCGUUCCAGUUCCUGUCGGCCAUGUUGAGGUCGUUCCAGUUCUUGUCGACCAAGUUGAGGUCGUUCCAGUUCCUGUCCCUGUCGACCAAGUUGAGGUCGUUCCAGUUCCUGUUCCUGUCGGCCAUGUUGAGGUCGUUCCAGUUCCUGUCCCUGUCGACCAAGUUGAGGUCGUUCCAGUUCCUGUCCCUGUCGACCAAGUUGAGGUCGUUCCAGUUCCUGUCCCUGUCGACCAAGUUGAGGUCGUUCCAGCUCCUGUCCCUGUCGACCAAGUUGAGGGCGUUCCCGUAGGCCAAGUAGAGGGCGUUCCCGUAGGCCAAGUAGAGGGCGUUCCCGUAGGCCAAGUAGAGGGCGUUCCCGUAGGCCAAGUAGAGGGCGUUCCCGUAGGCCAAGUAGAGGGCGUUCCCGUAGGCCAAGUAGAGGUCACCCCUGUCUCUGACCCCGUUCCUGUCGGCCCUGUAGCGGUCGUUCCAUUCCCCGUUCCCGUCGGCCCUGUAGCGGUCGUUCCAGUCCCCGUCACCCUUGGAGCCGCAGCGCCCGCCGGCCUCCAGGAGGAGGCAGCACCUGCAGUUCCUGCGCACCUCCAGGAGGAGGUUGCGCCAGCCGCAGUUCCUGCGCACCUCCAGGAGGAGGUUGCGCCAGCCGCAGUUCCUGCGCACCUCCAGGAGGAGGUUGCGCCAGCCGCAGUUCCUGCGCACCUCCAGGAGGAGGUUGCGCCAGCCGCAGUUCCUGCGCACCUCCAGGAGGAGGUUGCGCCAGCCGCAGUUCCGGCGCACCUCCAGGAGGAGGUUGCGCCAGCCGCAGUCCCGGCGCACCUCCAGGAGGAGGUUGCGCCAGCCGCAGUCCCGGCGGACCCCCAGGAGGGGGUCGCGCCCGCCGCAGUCCCGGCGGACCCCCAGGAGGGGGUCGCGCCCGCCGCAGUCCCGGCGGACCCCCAGGAGGGGGUCGCGCCCGCCGCAGUCCCGGCGGACCCCCAGGAGGGGGUCGCGCCCGCCGCAGUCCCGGCGGACCCCCAGGAGGGGGUCGCGCCCGCCGCAGUCCCGGCGGACCCCCAGGAGGGGGUCGCGCCCGUCGUAGUUCCUGCCGACCUCCAGGAGGGGGUCGCUCCCGUCGUAGUUCCUGCCGACCUCCAGGAGGGGGUCGCUCCCGUCGUAGUUCCUGCCGACCUCCAGGAGGGGGUCGCUCCCGUCGUAGUUCCUGCCGACCUCCAGGAGGGGGUCGCUCCCGUCGUAGUUCCUGCCGACCUCCAGGAGGGGGUCGCUCCCGUCGUAGCUCCUGCCGCAUCUGCAUCGGUUCCUGGCGGCCCGGCUCCGGCCGCAUCUGCAUCGGUUCCUGGCGGUCCGGCUCCGGUCGCAUCUGCAUCGGUCCCUGGCGGUCCGGCUCCGGCCGCAUCUGUUUCGGUUCCUGCCUCUCGUCGCGGUGGUCCAAGGAGGACGCCGCUGGUUCACGUCUCUCGUCGCGGUGGUCCAAGGAGGACGCCGCUGGUUCCUGCCUCGUCUCUGCCUUUGCUGCCGGACUGGUGGCCUCGCCCUCGGCGCAUCCUGCUGCUGGGAUGGCGCUGCCUCCUGCGGCGCCGUCCGCCUCGACUCCUCAACCGCCUGGAUCAGCGUCCGCCUGGUGGACGCUGCCAUGCGGGGUGGUCCCCGGGGACAUCGGUCCAGCCCAAGGGCACUAAGAGUGCCACCCUGGCUCAGCGGCUGCUGGGCAGGGUCUCGCCACGCCAUCACCCUCCGUGA